rnacentral:rRNA from 1 species
AGCAGCAGCCGCGGUAAUACAGAGGGUGCGAGCGUUAAUCGGAUUUACUGGGCGUAAAGCGUGCGUAGGCGGCUAAUUGAGUCGGAUGUGAAAUCCCCGAGCUUAACUUGGGAAUUGCAUUCGAUACUGGUUAGCUAGAGUGUGGGAGAGGAUGGUAGAAUUCCAGGUGUAGCGGUGAAAUGCGUAGAGAUCUGGAGGAAUACCGAUGGCGAAGGCAGCCAUCUGGCCUAACACUGACGCUGAGGUACGAAAGCAUGGGGAGCAAACAGGAUUAGAUACCCGCGUAGUCCCUGUCUCUUAUAC